GGCCCUACGGGGCGCAGCAGGCGCGAAACCUCCGCAAUGCACGCAAGUGCGACGGGGGAACCCCAAGUGCCACUCUUAACGGGGUGGCUUUUCAGAAGUGUAAAAAGCUUCUGGAAUAAGGGCUGGGCAAGACCGGUGCCAGCCGCCGCGGUAACACCGGCAGCUUAAGUGGUAGCCGCUUUUAUUGGGCCUAAAGCGUCCGUAGCCGGUCUGAUAAGUCUCUGGUGAAAUCCCGCAGCUUAACUGUGGGAAUUGCUGGAGAUACUAUCAUGACUCGAGGUCGGGAGAGGCUGGAGGUACUCCCAGGGUAGGGGUGAAAUCCUGUAAUCCUGGGAGGACCACCUGUGGCGAAGGCGUCCAGCUGGAACGAACCUGACGGUGAGGGACGAAAGCCAGGGGCGCGAACCGGAUUAGAUACCCGGGUAGUCCUGGCCAUAAACGAUGUGGACUUGGUGUUGGGAUGGCUUCGAGCUGCCCCAGUGCCGAAGGGAAGCUGUUAAGUCCACCGCCUGGGAAGUACGGCCGCAAGGCUGAAACUUAAAGGAAUUGGCGGGGGAGCACCACAACGCGUGGAGCCUGCGGUUUAAUUGGAUUCAACGCCGGG
rnacentral:rRNA from 1 species